rnacentral:rRNA from 1 species
ACGGGAGGCAGCAGUGGGGAAUAUUGCACAAUGGGCGAAAGCCUGAUGCAGCAACGCCGCGUGAAGGAGGAAGGCCUUCGGGUCGUAAACUUCUGUCCUUGAGGAAGAAGAACUGACGGUACUCAAGGAGGAAGCCCCGGCUAACUACGUGCCAGCAGCCGCGGUAAUACGUAGGGGGCAAGCGUUAUCCGGAAUUAUUGGGCGUAAAGAGUGCGUAGGUGGUUACCUAAGCGCAGGGUAUAAGGCAAUGGCUCAACCAUUGUUCGCCCUGCGAACUGGGCUACUUGAGUGCAGGAGAGGAAAGCGGAAUUCCUAGUGUAGCGGUGAAAUGCGUAGAUAUUAGGAGGAACACCAGUGGCGAAGGCGGCUUUCUGGACUGUAACUGACACUGAGGCACGAAAGCGUGGGGAGCAAACAGGAUUAGAUACCCUGGUA